AUAAAAGUCAGAAUUGGUUACAAAGAAAUAAAAGGUAAAAUGCAACUAAUACCUAGCUUAAUAAGCUAAGUGAAUUAAAAGCAAAGUCUCUCUUCUUCAUAU